UGACGUGGAAUCUGAAGGAAGUCGGAGGCAAAUCCUCGGUCUGAGGUACACGAACCACAUUCGAGGUUUCUGUUUCUGGGCGAGUUUGCCAAACAAAACAAAGCCCCAAAUAUCCCCGGAAGGAACAGGAAUAAAUGCGGCAGAUAGAUGAGGAGAAAGUGG
rnacentral:ncRNA from 1 species